rnacentral:misc_RNA from 1 species
AAUUUGAGUGGGAGAAAUAUUCCUAAAUAAAAUAGAUGAAUAUUUCCUAUAUAAAGUAGAAAUCUUAUUUUAGUAUUAUUAUUAAAUUGAGUGAGACUCCAAAUUAGAUAAGGAUUGAGAGAAUUAACACUAUGAAUGGUGUAAAAGCUUAUUUGGCUUUCAGCUCAUGGAGGGAGGCUGUCGCCCAUUAUAGAGAAGGCUCUUGCUAAUUGUUACAGAUUUGGCUCUGCCCAUUGAUG